UUGUGCACAAUCUCUCCUCUUGUAAAUUAUUACCGACCACCGUCAGGAAACAAAAAAGAGUGUUGCAACACAUGCAGUUCACUCUAGUCAGAGAGGUUGGGAAAACACAAAAGACACAGGACAAGUUCGACAUUCUUUUCCGGAGAAUGAAACUUUUCUUUGAAGUAUUCCAAAUCAUUUCUCAUUUAUGAACAGUGCAAAUGAAGAUUUACGAGCCGGGCAAUUUACAGCCUCGGAUUGAACAGACUUCUUCUGUCCUGGCAAUGCUUAUCUGGAUCCUCCUGAGAAAUGUCACGAUGCAAACUGGUAGUAAAGUGACACCAAGGUAAGAGAUGGAGCAUAAGAAGAGCUACAAGCAAAACUGAGAGUUUCUUUCUAAAUGUUGUCAAUUCACCUCAUUCUUGAUCUGUAACUCUGCUGCCAUUAGUAUCGAUGGCCUGGUUAUGUGGUGGUUUCGAGAUAAAUAAAUAGACACAAAUAAAUCACAA